rnacentral:rRNA from 1 species
UCCGGUUGAUCCUGCCAGAGGUCACUGCUAUCGGUGUUCGACUAAGCCAUGCGAGUCAAAUGUUCUUCGUGAACAUGGCGUACUGCUCAGUAACACGUGGAUAACCUGCCCUUAGGUCUGGCAUAACCCCGGGAAACUGGGGAUAAUUCCGGAUAGAUCAUCGAUGCUGGAAUGCGCUUUGAUCCAAAGCUAUUGUGCCUAAGGAUGGGUCUGCGGUCUAUCAGGUUGUAGUGGGUGUAAUGUACCUACUAGCCUACGACGGAUACGGGUUGUGGGAGCAAGAGCCCGGAGAUGGAUUCUGAGACAUGAAUCCAGGCCCUACGGGGCGCAGCAGGCGCGAAAACUUCACAAUGCGGGGAACCGCGAUAAGGGGACACCGAGUGCCAGCAUCCUAUGUUGGCUGUCCAUAUGUCUAAAUCACAUGUGUUAGCAAGGGCCGGGCAAGACCGGUGCCAGCCGCCGCGGUAACACCGGCGGCCCGAGUGGUGGCCACUAUUAUUGGGUCUAAAGGGUCCGUAGCCGGUUUGGUCAGUCUUCCGGGAAAUCUGACGGCUCAACCGUUAGGCUUUCGGGGGAUACUACCAGGCUUGGGACCGGGAGAGGUAAGAGGUACUACGGGGGUAGGAGUGAAAUCUUGUAAUCCCUGUGGGACCACCAGUGGCGAAGGCGUCUUACCAGAACGGGUCCGACGGUGAGGGACGAAAGCUGGGGGCACGAACCGGAUUAGAUACCCGGGUAGUCCCAGCUGCAAACUAUGCUCGCUAGGUGUCAGGGACGGUGCGACCGUUUCUGGUGCCGCAGGGAAGCCGUGAAGCGAGCCACCUGGGAAGUACGGUCGCAAGGCUGAAACUUAAAGGAAUUGGCGGGGGAGCACUACAACGGGUGGAGCCUGCGGUUUAAUUGGACUCAACGCCGGG